rnacentral:tRNA from 1 species
UGAAUUGAAGCCAGUUGCGNUUGGGCGUUUAGCUGUUAACUAAAUUUUUGCAGGUUAGAGUCCUGUCAGUUCAG